CGGGGGGGGGGGGGGGUCCUCAGCCUGAAUUGCGAGAGGGUGUAAGCCAGGCUAAGGGACCCCACCAAGCACAGA
rnacentral:pre_miRNA from 1 species